UGCAGAAUCCCGCGAACCAUCGAGUCUUUGAACGCAAGUUGCGCCCGAGGCCUCUUGGCUGAGGGCACGCCUGCCUGGGCGUCACGCCAAAUACGCUCCCACCACCUAAUCGGGUAGUAGGAUGCGGCUUGUGGCUCUCCGUCACGCAAGUUGCGGUGGGCCGAAGAUGUGGCUGCCGGCGUAUCGUGUCGGACACAGCGCGUGGUGGGCGACCUCGCUUUACUUACCGCAGUGUAUCCGACCCGUAGCCGACGUCAUGGCCUCGAAUGACCCAAUGGACGGAGCGCAUGACGCUUCGACCGCGACCCCAGGUCAGGCGGGACUACCCGCUGAGUUUAAGCAUAUAAAUAAGCGGAGGAGAAGAAACUUACAAGGAUUCCCCUAGUAACGGCGAGCGAACCGGGAGCAGCCCAGCUUGAGAAUCGGGCGGCCGUGCCGUCCGA
rnacentral:rRNA from 1 species